UUUUCCCCUCACUAUAAAUCAUUGUUCCUUACAGGAUCCACCCAUGGUGAUGAUAGCCCAGCAACCAAUGGGUGCACCCGGGGUGGUGGUGUCCCAUACAUCCAUGCAGGUUGGUGGAGCAGCUUAUGCCCCAGGUGCUCAGUUGCCAGCUUAUAACCCAGGUGCUUACGGGCCAGCAUAUCCAGUAGAUGCUCGUGGACAAGCAAUGCAUCAUGAGCAAAGAGUGGCGAGUCAUGAUAAGGCUCCUUUGGUGGUGUGAGCCAUCUUCAACCAGCUGUAAACACUGCUACUAGGUGAUGCCUGCAGUGUACUUUUAUUUUAUAGCUUCAUUGUCAGUAGUUUGCAGCACUUUGUUGAUGUUUAAUUUGUGCAGUUGUAAAGAAAGAACACUUAUUAACAUGCAGUAGAAGGAAAUUACGUUUAUGAGAGGAUAAACUUUUCAAAGCAUUAUUGAAACUCAUGAUGUAUAAGUAGUGUAAAUUUAUAGAGCCGAUUAUGUAAAUGGCAUUAAGUCUGGGUUAAGGAUGUGAUGGCUUUGACCAGCAUUUAGGCUACUUUAGAGAAUUGAAUUUUUUGAUUAGAUGCUUUGCUGUAUCUGAAUGGUUGUAAAAGAAUAUUUCGUUUCUUUUGUUCUUUUCGGUUACAAAACUCAAAUAUGAUGUCUUAAAAAUGUUUUCACACAGCUCUGUACUACACUAUUUAUGCAACCCUUCAGAAUAGCAAGACCGUAGGAGUAGGAUGCAUGCUGACUCCAAAACAAAAGCCACAUUUUCCAGAUUAUGUUUAAACGAGGUCUUCGUGAACUCUUGCUCAUUUGCAUUCAAAUAAUUCAAUUCAGACCCCACUAAGCUGUGGUUUUGGAGUUGUCGUGGAAACCUUGAUUUAGCACCCAUUCACCCAUUCUAGGACCCAUCCCGGACCCAUUCUAGGCUUCAUUUUAAUAACUGGCUCAUAGGUUUUGGGCAAAAAUGUGAUUUGGUUUGUUUGCUUCCUGGGCAGGUUCGUAUUGUGAGCCUCUUAUUUCUGUCUGUAGGAAAGUCAGUUUAAACAUUUUAUUUCCAGGGUGUACACCUUUAGUUAAAACUCUAGGUUCGUACCACCCGUGUUAUAGUUUAAAGUGUAAGGUAAAAUAUGUAGUUACAAAGAAAAGCUCAAAAGCGUUUUGUUAUCAUUUAUGUUAUUUUCGCAGAUAAGAUACAUUUAACAGAUGUGUUUUUGACAGGGUACAUUUUAGAGAUAAUGGAAUUUGUUAGGAGACCACUUAGGGGGUGACGAUGAAGACCUCACAUUCUUUGAAUGCUUUUUAUCUUGUAAUGCCUGUACCCCUCCUCGUUAGUCUCCUCAGUCGAUCAAGAUGGUAGAAGUCGUGCACAAGCUAAAGAAGUAGUUUUCACUUGCAUGUACAUGUGAAUGCACAAGCAUAGUUGUUUUUUAGUUUAACAUACACAGGUAACCUUGUGUAACUUUUGAAAACUCCAGCUACGAGGAGAGCAGUAGUUUUAAUAGAAAAGAAAAGGCCACUUAAAGGUCUUCUGGCUUUUAAUGAUCCUCUCUGUAAGGCAAGUAAUAGUGCUAGUGGCUUCUGAGUAGACAGUAGUAUUUUUUAGUCUGUGAAGAGUUCCUCUCUGUUUUAUUCUUGACAAACCAAUCCAGCACAGAACUGGAAUUCCUUGCGUAGUCAUCGGCAAAUUUUAGCAUCGACGAUGUCCUCGUUUGUUUUUCUUUACUGUGGAUUUCGUGCUUUUUGGACAAGGUGAUGACGCAAUCACAUCGAUCAGUUUGUUAAAAUCUCUGUUGAUUUCUCGGGCUGGGCGUCUCUGCCCCAUAUGCGCUAGUGGUUUGUCCUCGUCCAAUAUAACGGAGACACAGGGAGCCGGAGACGAACUCGUACACAUACAGUGACAACCAUUUAACUUUUGUUGCUACAAUCCCACAAACGGGACUCGCUAGCUCUGUAAAACGUAUUGUGAUUAUUUUUCGAUGAGGGCGGCUGUAACAUGUACACAGGUUAAAGUUUAGUUGUCCCCAAGAGAUUAUGAUCAUAAUCUCUUGUUAAUCUCUUGGUGUUUCUAAAAACUGUGUCACAAACGAUAGAGACCGCUUUUGAAUCAGUUGUACUGCUAGUAGAAUAAAUAUGCUUUAAGGCGACUAAAUGGCACUGCUGUUUUCAUCGUUGAAUUUUGGUGGUGGUGGUGGUAACCCUAACCCUUACAGAUACUUAUCGUGCUUAAACGAUUGUCUUAGUUACGACACUGAACAACAAUAAGACCCAAGAGAGUAUGAUCCGUUAGGGAGUUAAUCACCCAUGUAAUCCUUGUUCUCAAGACAAUCCCGCCAAAGGUAUUAUUAGAUAUGGUAUCCAGUUCUCCUGCAGACUGUUGCCACGUGGCUGUUUUCGUGGAGGACGUGGAGGAUGCAAAAGUAGGUAAUUACCUUUUAAAUAAGUCCCACGUGGAGGAUUUACUUUCUUACCCUUUGGCUUUUCAUCUUUUCUUUAAAUGAUAUUAGACUUGUAGGAAACGAGUCAAGUUUUUUUUAGUUAUCUAAACUGGUGGUAAGUUUUCUAACAAUUUUUGAUAAAUCCAUUUUGGCACUGAGCUUGAUGAAAUGUCUAGGUAAGCACUACAUAUAAUUCUACUUAUGCGUUUACAUCUUCAUUUAACUGUUAGCGUUCAUAGAUUUUCCAAAACUCCUUUGGCAAUAUCGCUACGAAUUGAGCAUCUCUGCCAUCAUCGCAAAGCCAUUUACCCUUACUAAUAUGUCAGUGAUACUGUUUAGUAUUAAAUGCCGGAUAGCUGUACAUCCUGUCUUCUCCUUGUCUGUUGUAGUGUCCCCACUUUCCAGGGUACUGUGAGCCGUCAUUUCCCCACCGAUGACACAGCACGGCUGAUUAUAAGGGUUAUCGUCUUCCAUUUUCUGAAACAGAUUGCACGAGAAGGGCAACUUGUUCUUCUGGCCGCUGAAGUACUGGACUACAGCUUCACCAGUGCUAUUAGUGGCCGUGGUCACAUGGAACGUACGUCACUGUUGUUUACUGCAGUGGAAUCUCAUCUGAGAGUGCGUGCUUCUCCGAGUUCAUUCAUUGCACUGAAAGUGAUUCCCAUUUCGUUACUGAGAUAAUUGCUGAUUCCGCGGUAUGAAGUUUCAGCGCUGGCGGUCCAGUUAUUGGGAGGAGUUGAGCUGUCCAUAACAAAGUUAGCGAUCGCCAAGAAUCCAGCCUCCUGGAAAUUAAAGAUAAUGAAGGAAAAGCUGAAAACACCUGUCUUUACUGCGCAACCAUAAGCGACAUGCACAGCAGGAUUGGCAACUUGGUGGACCUUGUAGUUUUGUACCUUUACAUGUGUGAGAGGGUAGUCUGUGGUAAACUGCGUACAAUGUCAAUUUACCUCCAUCAGCUGUCAUGUCACAGUAAACUUUCAAAGGGUUUCCACUGUUUUCAGGAUCGAUCCAGUACUCCCCGUCUCCUUCAGAGGAGCCACUUUCCAAUAUAUGUUUACAAGAAUGUCCAGGAUUCGCUGGAUCUUCGCCUAAAGGAAUCUCUAAUAAUAGUAAUAAUAAUAAUGACUUUAUCACCGUUUCAAUUACAUCUAGCAGGAGAAUCGAUCCCCACUGCUAAUAGGGGACACCUAACUAGAACUAUCUAAAAAUAAUAUACUGAAAAGUCCCAUAAGAGAAACAGUUAAAAUUAUGAGUUACGAAGAUGGUAGCCACUACAUCCAUCUAGCAUCCAGGAUGUUGUUUAGAUCUAGCCUCCGUACGUGGGUCUUGAUCUGCUUGAGAUUUAUCGCCGAUCUUUCUUUAUUUGUCAGUUUGCUCCACAUAGUCUUGGGCCUAGAUAUCGAAUUGAAUGUUGUCCAUAUGUAACAGUGUUAAAUCUAGGUAAAUGAAAAUCUCUCUGCCGUAAACUGUAAGUGUGGCUAUAAGUAUAAAACAUGUUACAAAUAGUCCGCGGGCACAAAUUAAGUUAAACCGUAUACAUUAAAAUACAUAUGUCUUGUAGUCUCCUGUUAUACAAUUUUGGUAGAUUGGCUUUCUCUAACACCUGCUGGUAGCUAGACAACUUAUCUCUUAAAACAGCACGAAGUCCUCGCUCCUGUACUCUCUCUAAUCUACGAGUGUCCGUGGCUCUGCAAAAAUGCCACACUAGGUAAUAUACAAGAAUUAUAUAUUAGGGCUGGCUAAUCGCAAAACUCUAGAUCAAGAUAACGUCCAAGAGGUGCUAAGAGCUUUACCCGUUCAUGUACUUGCAAAUUGGAAACACUUUCUUGAAAUUGCCACAAAAAUUGGCCGAUAGCCCAAUUGGAUAGGGGGACGAAAAAGGUUCAAGUCGAAGAAUACAUAAAUAUAUUAUCGUUGGGAGGGGUUGGGCCCCUUUCGUAGAUAAUUUAUAAAAAAAGAAAAUGAAUGAACCGGGUAGGCACCAUGGCUUAUUUUAAUAUGGCUUAUUUUAAUUCAAUUGUUACCAAUCGAUCAAUCUUCCGCCGCAGUUCUUACGGAACAUACGCAGCGGUAUCCUCAGAUGGGUCAGUUUAUUUAUACACGGUAAAUUCCACUCAGUUGUAUACAAGCAAAAAUAUCUACAAAUGU